rnacentral:misc_RNA from 1 species
AACAAAUAAUUAAAUAAUAAAAAAUAAUAGUGGGGUAAAUUAAAAGGUCAGAAUGUAUUAAUAUAAAAUGUUAGAAUUUGACAACUAUUAUUAGAGAAGUAUAUUAAAAAAAACAAGAAAAAACUAAGCAAGAGAGAGAGGGAAAAGAAUCGCUAGUGGAAGAAAAAUAGCUAAGAUUUUAUAUGCACUUUUCACAAUAAAAAAUGAAGUGAAAUAUUAAA